CACGUAGGGUGCGAGCGUUGUCCGGAAUUACUGGGCGUAAAGAGUGUGUAGGCGGUGCUCUAAGUCUGUUGUGAAAUCUCCCGGCUUAACCGGGAGGGUGCGGCGGAAACUGGAGUGCUUGAGGGUGGGAGAGGUAAGCGGAAUUCCUGGUGUAGCGGUGAAAUGCGUAGAUAUCAGGAGGAACACCUGUGGUGUAGACAGCUUACUGGACCACUUCUGACGCUGAGACACGAAAGCGUGGGUAGCAAACAGG
rnacentral:rRNA from 1 species